UGCUAAGAAUUUAUUGAAAGCUAAGUGGGCCCAUAUUCAAACAAGUGUUGCACAAGUGCACAAACAUGGGUUCAUGGGUGAACUUUUUUUAAAGCCAGCUCAAAAGUGAGUUUAUUUUAGUUACUUUAUCCAUAACCGCUCAUCUAAAUAUGAUACAGGAAAUUGUUUUUGAGGAAAAUGAUAAUUUAAAAAAGCAACUUGUAUCCCUAUUGUCCACUCAUUCCAUAAGGGCCUGAAAUCCGACUCGUUAGAUGAUUUUUGCUAUCGGACAAAUCAUUAAUUUAAUCCAUUGUCAGUACAUGCCGAAACUCUCAGACUGAAAGCUUUCAAAUUGACAUUAUGAGGGAUUUCCACACACCUACAGGCUAACUUCCACUAACUGAGUCAACUGUGCAUCAAGACUUUUGGUGCAACGAUGAGUCCAAACUCCGCAGAAAGUUUACUCUUUUUACAGAAUCUUUCAAGCGUGAAGUUUCAAGAUGUGUAUGGAUUAACAGAGACACUCUCCCACAGCCUGCACCAAACUGGAUUAAGGAUACAGUUUAUUUUUGAGUGCUUCAUCUACAACUAUGAAGGGGAUUCAUGCAGAGCCAGUUGAGGAUGUGGCUGUGAGGAGACCAAAGCCAUCAGCCAGCAGUGUCUGAAACUCAACACUCUAUCAAACAUACGCAGGACCCCGGCCUGACACAUUAUUGUCUCUUGGUGAAGGAGUGAAGAGCCUCAGACUGUAACCACUGAUUUCCUCGGUGCUGCAUGGCCUGUCUGAGAUCUCCAUGGUGGACUGUAGGUUCGGACCUGUGCCAUGAGGUUCACCCCGGUCAUACCAUGUCAGUGCAGAAAGCUACAUGAUAACUACAAACCAGGAAACAUUGGGCUCCACUUCUCAGCUGUACAUUUUAGGAGCUUACCAAUGGUAAAUAAUAAUAAUAAUAAAAAAAAAAAAACUCAGACAUGUGCUAUCAAGUUAUUAAAUGUUAGUUAAAUCUUAGUGUCACAAAUGUUAAA